UCAAUGCCAAAAGUUCAAGUCUAAAACUAAUGGCUGCAAGUCAGCAGAGCCUUGCAGCUCUCUUCUCACUCUUGCAGCUACCAAUAGCUAGCGUUCUAGUGCAGAGCUAACUACUAAGUGUACAGUAGCAACAUUCGGUGAACAAGUUUUGCUACGGACUCUUCUGAAAAGGCUGCAAUGGCAUUUCAAGUAAGCAAAACUAGGCAUAACUCGAGAACGAAGCUUUAUUUUGCAAAUCCACGAAUUAAAAUCCAAGAAAACAUGACUAGAAGCCUAUAGAAACUCUUACUUGCACUUCAUUGAUCCUUGUGCAGCUGUAGCAGUCUAAACACACACACAGACACACACACAGACACACAGACAGACACACAAACACACUACCGUAUACCUCGCUUGCGCAUGCGCACCGAGGCAUAAUAAGCAGUCCUAUCGGGAAUGGAAACCAGACACCAUACUGGAGUAAGUUUCAAACACGCGCUCACAUGCACACAUGCACACACCACCUGUAAAUGUUUUAUUUGUUAAUAUACCCUAAAGAUACAACUCCUAAUGAUGCGCAGGCACUGAAAAAAUGCCCCACUUCAAUGAUCAGCUCAGGUGAUAUUCUACUAGAAUUUGUUGUUUCCGAUGGAUGAGUCCAUGAUUGACUCCAGAGGGGAUUGACUCUGCUUUGAACUGCUUACAGGGAUGAAUAUUUCAAUACAUUGGAAUAACUAUUUAAAACGAAGCAUCAUUCCCUGCAUGGUGAUACUCAAGAACCCACCUGGAAAAUAUUGGUAGACCCUCUCGCAGUCAACCUACAGGAUUGUCCAACAAAACAAGUCAAAUCUCACAAGAGCACAACGUGCUUCUACACAAGAAAAGCAUUAUCGAAAGCAAUCAUCUGUCCAUCCCUGGCAAUAAAACGUUCUUCAAUCGUUUGCUGCCAUUAUUGCCUCUCGAUGGCAAUGUCUUGCUUCUCCCCUCUCCCUCACUUCUGAAGACAUUGUGAGCAUCAAGAAAGAGACAAGAGGAUCAGAGGCGACCAGAGAAGCACUCGUCAUGCUGCAUGGUCAUGCACUUUCCGUGUUUCAUAUCUGUACCGUUCAUAAUAGUUAUACACAGUAUUAUCAUGUUGUCUCUAAAAGUGAAUUGUGAUUUCGGUCAGUCUCAGCAGUACAGUUCCUAGAUUUAGCUGCAUGCAUUCAAUUGCACUUGCAUACUGUAGAUAUAGCUAUUCAAUCCAACACAUGUUUGUGUCACUAAACUUUCAGAAUUCAUGCCUUGCCACGUAAGCAAAGAUUACUUAUUGCUGCACUUUCAAUUGUCUAAUUAUAUGCAACACCUUAGGUCCUUCAAA